GCCCCAUUGGCGCAGUCGGUUAGCGCGUCGUACUUAUAAGUGGCUGGGAGAUGCGAAGGUCAGCAGUUCGAGCCUGCUAUGGGGCA
rfam:Ascaris lumbricoides genome assembly, scaffold: ALTE_scaffold0000504